GAGGGUAUGGCUCAAAUGGCAGAGUGUGUGCUUGGCAUGUACAAGGUUCUGGGUUCAACCCCAAGUACCUCCA
rnacentral:tRNA from 1 species